rnacentral:rRNA from 1 species
UUGCAGGACUCCGUGAACCAAUGGCCUCUUGAACGUGCAUUGCGCUCUUGGGAUAUGCCUGAGAGCAUGUCUGCUUCAGUGCUUCUACUUUCAUCUUCUGCUGCUCUUGUUAUCAGGAGCAGUGUUGCUGCAUGCUUCUGCAAGUGGCACUGGCAUGCUAAAUAUCAAGUUUUGCUUGCUGUUGUGACUGAUCAACAUCUCAUGUCGUUUCAGUUGGCGAAACAAAAGCUCAUGUGUGUUCUUAACACUUCCUAGCAUGAAGUCAGACAAGUGAACCCGCUGAACUUAAGCAUAUGGAUCCCGGGCGGGGGCGGCGGGACGGGCGCGGGGCGCCGCGG